rnacentral:sRNA from 16 species
GCACCUCAUAAAACGGGUGCCGGGUUUCGCAGCCCGCUGACAAACGUAGCGCACAACCGCGCCAGCGGUUUUUUU